UGCAUAUCAAUAAGCGGAGGAAAAGAAACUAACAAGGAUUCCCCUAGUAACGGCGAGUGAACCGGGAAGAGCUCAAAUUUGAAAUCUGGCGUGCUCAGUGCGUCCGAGUUGUAAUCUAUAGAGUCGUUUUCCGUGCCGGACUGUGUCCAAGUCCCUUGGAACAGGGUAUCAAAGAGGGUGAUAAUCCCGUACUUGACACAAUGACCGGUGCUCUGUGAUACGUCUUCUACGAGUCGAGUUGUUUGGGAAUGCAGCUCAAAAUGGGUGGUGAGUUCCAUCUAAAGCUAAAUAUUGGCGAGAGACCGAUAGCGAACAAGUACCGUGAGGGAAAGAUGAAAAGCACUUUGGAAAGAGAGUUAAACAGUACGUGAAAUUGUUAAAAGGGAAACGAUUGAAGUCAGUCGUGACUGAGAGGCUCAGCCGGUUCUGCCGGUGUAUUCCCCUCAGUCGGGUCAACAUCAGUUUUGUUCGGUGGAUAAGGGCAGUUGGAAGGUGGCACCCUCGGGUGUGUUAUAGCCAGCUGUCGCAUACAUCGGAUGAGACUGAGGAAUGCAGCUCGCCUUUAUGGCCGGGGUUCGCCCACGUUCGAGCUUAGGAUGUUGACAUAAUGGCUUUAAACGACCCGUCUUGAAACACGG
rnacentral:rRNA from 1 species